AGUUAGGAUUUUCCAUCAAAUACCCCAGCUGAGGUUCUCCGGGCACCUGGCCCCCCGCUGGUGCCACUCGGGUCUUCCUCAGUGCCGUGGACGGGGCUAGGGGGAUUGUGUCAAAUUGCAGUGGCAUAGAAAGCUGAUGCAGGAAGAGGCCUCAGCAAUAAUUUAG